AGGUGUCGCAAGACUCAAUAGGGAAGCCGGUCAAAGUCCGGCGCGGUCCCGCCACUGUAACAGCGAGUGCACUGCAGAAGAUAUGUCACUGGAGAUGGAAAAGCAUCUUUGGGAAGGCGCAGCAGCACGAAGAACUGGAGCCAGGAGAACUGCCUGAUUG
rnacentral:ncRNA from 1 species